GAGUAAUAUAUAGUUAAUGUGCCCCUUAGUUCGGGAUAGCCACUGGAAACGGUGAUUAAUACCGGAUACUCCUUAUCAGCUUAAGUUGGUAAGGGAAAGUUUUUCGCUAAGGGAUCAGACUAUAUCGCAUCAGUUAGUUGGUGAGGUAAUGGCUCACCAAGACAAUGACGCGUAGCGGGUUUGAGAGGAUGAUCCGCCACACUGGUACUGAGACACGGACCAGACUCC
rnacentral:rRNA from 1 species